UAUUAUGUACAUGCCUAUAGAAUUAAUGCAGUGGAUCCCAUCAAAACUCUGUAGUUAAGCACGUUUGGGCUAGAGUAGCACUAGGAUGGGUGACCUCCCAAGAAAUCCUAGUGUUUUACAUAC
rnacentral:rRNA from 1 species